UAGGGAAUCUUCGGCAAUGGACGGAAGUCUGACCGAGCAACGCCGCGUGAGUGAAGAAGGUUUUAGGAUCGUAAAGCUCUGUUGUUAGAGAAGAACGUUGGUAGGAGUGGAAAAUCUACCAAGUGACGGUAACUAACCAGAAAGGGACGGCUAACUACGUGCCAGCAGCCGCGGUAAUACGUAGGUCCCGAGCGUUGUCCGGAUUUAUUGGGCGUAAAGCGAGCGCAGGCGGUUCUUUAAGUCUGAAGUUAAAGGCAGUGGCUUAACCAUUGUACGCUUUGGAAACUGGAUGACUUGAGUGCAGAAGGGGAGAGUGGAAUUCCAUGUGUAGCGGUGAAAUGCGUAGAUAUAUGGAGGAACACCGGUGGCGAAAGCGGCUCUCUGGUCUGUAACUGACGCUGAGGCUCGAAAGCGUGGGGAGCAAACAGG
rnacentral:rRNA from 1 species